UACAGAGGGGGGCAAGCGUUGUUCGGAAUUACUGGGCGUAAAGGGCGCGUAGGCGGCCUUCUAAGUCGAACGUGAAAUCCCCGGGCUCAACCCGGGAACUGCGUCCGAUACUGGAAGGCUUGAAUCCGGGAGAGGGAUGCGGAAUUCCAGGUGUAGCGGUGAAAUGCGUAGAUAUCUGGAGGAACACCGGUGGCGAAGGCGGCAUCCUGGACCGGUAUUGACGCUGAGACGCGAAAGCGUGGGGAGCAAACAGG
rnacentral:rRNA from 1 species